GGGAAAUGAGAGCUGGGUCUGGGACAAGACCCAUCCCAAGCUAAGGUGAAGUAGGCUCA
rfam:Camelus ferus unplaced genomic scaffold scaffold1223, whole genome shotgun sequence.